rnacentral:rRNA from 1 species
UGGGGAAUUGUUCGCAAUGGGCGCAAGCCUGACGACGCAACGCCGCGUGGAGGAUGAAGACUUUCGGGUCGUAAACUCCUUUCGACCGAGAUGAACGUCCGCCGGCCUAAUAUGCCGGCGGAGUGACAGUAUCGAGGGAAGCAGCCCCGGCUAACUCCGUGCCAGCAGCCGCGGUAAUACGGGGGGGGCAAGCGUUGUUCGGAAUUACUGGGCGUAAAGGGUUCGUAGGUGGUCGUCUAAGUCAGACGUGAAAUCCCUCAGCUUAACUGGGGAACUGCGUCUGAGACUGGAGGGCUUGAGUGCAGGAGAGGAACGCGGAAUUCCAGGUGUAGCGGUGAAAUGCGUAGAUAUCUGGAGGAACACCGGUGGCGAAGGCGGCGUUCUGGACUGCAACUGACACUGAUGAACGAAAGCCAGGGGAGCAAACGGGAUUAGAUACCCCCGUAGUCC